rnacentral:rRNA from 1 species
GACGAACGCUGGCGGCAUGCCUAAUACAUGCAAGUCGAACGCUGAAGCACCCUGCUUGCAGAGUGCGGAUGAGUGGCGAACGGGUGAGUAACACGUGGGGAAUCUGCCUAUAAGUGGGGGAUAACAUUCGGAAACGGAUGCUAAUACCGCAUAUAUUCUUGGACCGCCUGGUCCUUGAAAGAAAGACGGCUUUGCUGUCGCUUAUAGAUGAUCCCGCGGCGUAUUAGUUAGUUGGUGGGGUAAAGGCCUACCAAGACAAUGAUACGUAGCCGACCUGAGAGGGUGAUCGGCCACACUGGGACUGAGACACGGCCCAGACUCCUACGGGAGGCAGCAGUAGGGAAUCUUCCACAAUGGGCGAAAGCCUGAUGGAGCAAUGCCGCGUGAAUGAAGAAGGUCUUCGGAUCGUAAAGUUCUGUUAUUAGAGAAGAACAAGUCAAGGAAUAACUGUCUUGACUUUGACGGUACCUAACCAGAAAGUCACGGCUAACUACGU